rnacentral:pre_miRNA from 1 species
UUUAGAACUCGAGAUAUGGGCUGAACACUAAAUAGUGUCUAGGCUGCAGGACAAAUUCCGACUUCUCUAUUGUUGCAACAAUUUGAACUUGAAAUGGUCAUUUUAAAUCUUGGACUCUUCAUAAAAGUUUUAGGCUUAUGUUUUAGCUUUCUAUA